GGAUGUGAGGGAGAUCUGGUGGCGACAUCUGACACCGCACUGACUGCUGGAAUUGAGCUGAUUGGGCUGCCAAAGUGGGUGCCCCUUCCUCCCUCCAUGCUCCAUGGGGUCCCUCCAGAAGCUGCGGGCUCCAUCUGAGUACCCUCAUAGAGGAGGACUGUUCCUCGGUGCAGGGUAUACAAGUGGCACAUUUGCCUGCUGGAACCUCCAAACCAGCUCUGAAAGUACUAUCCAUCCUCAGAUCUAGCAAGGAAGUGAGUUGGGAUAAAAUCUAUUUAUUGUAGUACUAAAGAU
rnacentral:snRNA from 1 species